rnacentral:rRNA from 1 species
GACGAACGCUGGCGGCGUGCCUAAUACAUGCAAGUAGAACGCUGAAACUUGGUGCUUGCACCGAGCGGAUGAGUUGCGAACGGGUGAGUAACGCGUAGGUAACCUGCCUGGUAGCGGGGGAUAACUAUUGGAAACGAUAGCUAAUACCGCAUAAGAGUAGAUGUUGCAUGACAUUUGCUUAAAAGGUGCAAUUGCACCACUACCAGAUGGACCUGCGUUGUAUUAGCUAGUUGGUGGGGUAACGGCUCACCAAGGCGACGAUACAUAGCCGACCUGAGAGGGUGAUCGGCCACACUGGGACUGAGACACGGCCCAGACUCCUACGGGAGGCAGCAGUAGGGAAUCUUCGGCAAUGGACGGAAGUCUGACCGAGCAACGCCGCGUGAGUGAAGAAGGGUUUCGGAUCGUAAAGCUCUGUUGUAAGAGAAGAACGAGUGUGAGAGUGGAAAGUUCACACUGUGACGGUAGCUUACCAGAAAGGGACGGCUAACUACGUG